rnacentral:lncRNA from 1 species
GCACUCUUCACAGAGAACCACAGGAUGUCUACAGCAAACUGUUCAGAGCUGGAUCUGGAGUUGGGAGACUUGCUACAGGAGUUUAAUGAUGUUGUGAAGGAGUUGAGCACACCUUACGCCUCUGAACAUCUGCGGGGAGAUGUGAAGAGACACACAGCACUGACUGAUGGAGACGACUCAGACUACUGCAGCGAAGCUUCGCUGGUAAACAGCUUGAAUGCCAGUCAAGAGGAGCUCAACAUCCCAAGCAUGAGUACAGCCCCAAAAGCCAGGCUCGGGGACACCGGCGACCUACAGAGCUUCAUUGAAAACCUGGAUAGAGAGCUUGCAGAGAUGUGAGAUGACAGGACACACGUGAUCAGAGAGAACGCUGAGCACCUGAAGAGCUGGCAUUUAGCAAAGCGCAAUCUCUGCUUCCACACAUAGAAAUUAGGCUGAAGAAAAACAGCUUGAAGGCUUCAUUUUUUCCCCUUCACUAAGGAACGAGAGCUCACGGUGACUUUUAAUUGGUCAAGACUGUUUGGAAGAAUUACCAAGUUUCUCAGAAGAUGUUUUAUUUUAGUAAAUACUUACUAAAUUUAUAUGAAAAGCACAAUGCCUUGUAAGUUAUGACGAUUAAUGUUAAUACCUAUUUUUCACUAUAUAUAUUGUAAAAAUAUCAGUGUUACCAGGUUCAGUGUAAUGUGUAAUAUUAAUUUAACCUUGUAAAGAAUUUUUAAUAAUAAAAGUUUUUG